GACGAACGCUGGCGGCGUGCCUAAUACAUGCAAGUCGAGCGGAAAGACGAGGAGCUUGUUCCUCUCUCGUGAGCGGCGGACGGGUGAGUCACGCGUGGAUAAUCUACCUGUAAUACGGGGAUCACCUCGGGAAACCGGCGCUAAUACCGGAUAAGAUCUUGAACCGCAGGGUUCAAUGGUGAAAGACGGCUUUGUCGGAGGUUGGGGAUGGAUCCGCGCUUCAUUAGCUGGUUGGUGAGGUACAGGUUUACCAAGGCAAUGACGGGUAGCCGGCCUGAGAGGGUGACCGGCCACAUUGGGACUGAGAUACGGCCCAGACUCCUACGGGAGGCAGCAGUGGGGAAUAGUGCACAAUGGGCGGAAGCCUGAUGCAGCAACGCCGCGUGCGGGAUGACGGCCUUCGGGUUGUAAACCGCUUUCGCCUGUGGCGAAGCGUGAGUGACGGUAAUGGGUAAAGAAGCACCGGCUAACUACGUG
rnacentral:rRNA from 1 species